rnacentral:rRNA from 1 species
AAGCUCGUAGUUGAAUUUCGGGGUCAGUAGGUUGGUCGUGCCACCGGUACGUACUGGUCUCACUGAUUCCUCCUUCCUGAUGAGCUGUAAUGCCAUUAAUUUGGUGUUGCAGGGAAUCUGGACUGUUACUUUGAAAAAAUUGAGUGUUUAAAGCAGGCUAACGCUUGAAUACAUUAGCAUGGAAUAAUGAAAUAGGACGUUCGAUCCUAUCUUGUUGGUUUCUAGGAUUGACAUAAUGAUUAAUAGGGAUAGUUGG